UCUGGUUGAUCCUGCCAGUAGUCAUAUGCUUGUCUCAAAGAUUAAGCCAUGCAUGUCUAAGUACGGCUCUAGUACGGUGAAACUGCGAAUGGCUCAUUAAAUCAGUUUUGGUUCAUUUGAUCGUGAAAGUUACAUGGAUAACUGUUGUAAUUCAAGAGCUAAUACACGCUAAGAGUGUCGCUCUCUGGGCGGCGCGCUUUUAUCAGACCAAAACCAAUCACCUUCGGGUGUUCAUUGUGGUGAGUCUGGAUAAACUAGCUGAUCGCAUGGUCUCGAACCGGCGAUGGAUCAUUCAAGUGUCUGACCUAUCAACUGUCGAUGGUAGCGUAUUGGGCUACCAUGGUUGUAACGGGUAACGGAGAAUUAGGGUUUGGUUCCGGAGAGGGAGUCUGAGAAACGGCUACCACAUCUAAGGAAGGCAGCAGGCGCGCAAAUUACCCAUUCCCGACUCGGGGAGGUAGUGACSAAAAAUAACAAUUCAAGACUCUUAACGAGGCCUUGAAGUUGGAAUGAGUACACUUUAAAACUUUUAAC
rnacentral:rRNA from 1 species